rnacentral:tRNA from 1 species
UAGCUCAGUCAGUAAAGAGUCUGCCUGCAAUGCAGGAGACCCGGGUUCGAUUCCUGG